ACUGGAAGUCUAUAAAAGGAAUGGUCUCUCACUAGAGAUUUUGAGAGGAGACCACAAGAAGGCAGCAAGGAUGUGCAAAAAGUGAAGAGUGAAACAAAGGAUCAUGCACUCAGAAAACACUGACCAAAUCCCAAAGACAACUCUGGAGUGGUGAGGAAACUGAAGCAGGGAAUGGCUUACUGUGUUUAUUGUUUUUCCUAGCAUCAAGCCUAGUACCGAUCCCUGCAGAACCCCACUGGAAACACUCCUAUUCAAUGGUGAUUCCCCAUUCACAGCUACUUUUUGAGGUCCAGCAGAUAUACAGUAUCCAUAAACAACAUGUUACUUGGAUUAAGAACUGGCUAAAGAGGACCCCUGCCACAUUGAGUGCACAGGAUGGAUGGUGCUGUGGGAAUGAGUCAGAGUUGUGCAGUGAAUAAGGCUGCUGUUUGAAGAAUUUCCAACAAAAAAGGUUACCUUAAACCACUAAUUUCACUGAACUGAUGUUUCAACACAACAUGCUGCACAGGACAUGAAAGCUGCCAAGAAUACAUCAGCACUAAAGCCUUUAUUCUGCAUUGAAAUAUUUAUAUUUUUUGCUCUAAUAAGGUUCCAGCUAAAUAAAACUGUAAUAAAUUUCAGAAUUCCUUAUAAACUUCCUCCAUAUUUAGGUCCCAUAUUUAGAGUAGUGGAAGGAACAAAAACAAAGGUGAUAACUGUGAGGAGAACUACCACCUGAAGAAUCCAGGAAGAUCCAGAGAUUUUUUAUGAAAAAUGAAAGUAGUAGGUUAUUUAGUGCUAGUGUAACCCACAUGCUUUAUGCUGCAGCAUUUGGUUUAAAAGCAGUGGGGAGAGACAUCGGGCUUGUCUACAUGGGGAAAUUAGUGCACAAUAAAUUUAGGGUGUGUUUUAUUAAUUUAGAUGGACUAUAUGGGUACAAAGAGUCUAAGGUAUUAACAUAACCCAGUCACUGUCCAACAUUAAACAGUUUUAAACAAGGUUCAGGUUUGGUAUACAGAGUCCUCAGCCUGCUUAGUAUCAUGACAAACACACCAUUAAAUGUCUUUCUAACCCUUUAUUAAAGAUAUAGAAAAGGAAGGGGAAAUGAGGGAGGUUAAAGCAUUCAAAAUGUAAAGCAUUAAAUAAGGCUUUCAUUUUAACCAUAUCGCAUGUUCUCUUUCCCUUUAGCUGGAAACAAUCUUUUAGAAAGAACAAAACUUUCUGAUAGUCUCUUGGGUGAUAUUAAAGAUGGUAACUGUCCUUUUGGGGAAAAGAGAAGUUAGUUACGAUGGGCUGGAGCUGUCAUUGUUAAAGUCUGAUCCUUCCUGUUUCCUAGAAAGCAAAAAAAGACAAACACAGAUAAGAGGGGAGAGCAGAAAACAGUAAAGAUAGAAAAUGCAGCUUGUCUCUGGUGUUUUUCACUUGCAGCCUCACUGCUGGAAAAAUGCAAGCCCAGCACAUGGUCUUAUCAGCCACUCUGAGACCUGGCAAUCUUGUACUAGCAUUGGGCUGUUAUGGACAUUGCAUGUAACUGCCUCUUUCUGGUCACAGACUAAGUCAAACUCUUAUUAGACAGAAGGAAAAUGAAGAGAGAUAGGAAAGAGAAGAAGUAAGCUGAGGAAGGAAAAGGCCACAUGGGGGGACAACAAAGUCUCAUAUCCCAGAUGGUGGUAAGGAUUAAGCUGAAGCCGGCAGAGGUGGCAGUAUCAUCUGGAUCCCCCUCUCUGAAGGUCUAGGGUCCCAGGAGAUGAUGGGGUAGCCAUGAUGCUGAAGCUUACUCCAGUAGCUAAGGACCCAGAAGGGGAAAUGGUAUUUGGAAUAGCCCAUGCCAUCAUUAUUUUGUCCACCAAUUAGGCCUAAUUUCUGACACACUAAUUUUGGUUCAUUGAUUCCUGGUUCUACACUUCUCUUGUUUAUCAAAGCACGAUCUUAACACAGUCUUUAAGUUACAUCAGCAGACCUUUUUGUUUGGAUAAUUAAGUCUGUCUCGCUUUUGCACCUGUGAUGCUGAGCCAGCAAGGGUUAAGCAACCAACAGGCUGACUGACAUGAAAACAACCUUUAAGGACACAUUAGAGUACAAAAAUGGGAAAGAGGGCUAUUCCUUGUGGAUAAUUAACAAAGCCAUAUCUUCAUUUCUCUUUGAAAUUUGUGACUCCACAUAGUAAAACUUCUUCAUCCAAGGAAGGCCUGCUGUGAUCAUUUGCUGCCAAGAGUCUUAUCCACUGAGCUUCAAGCUAUAAGGGAAGUUUCAGGCCUGAUUCUUGCUAUCUCAAAUCUGCUUAAAUUUUGACAGGGGAAGUCUAAAGCCACAAGACUGAGGUCUCCAGGUCUACUCUGGUUGACGCCUGCAAUUCUUGUGCAGAGUUUGUUCAAAUUCUUCCAUAUGAGCUGCCUAUUGAACUAUAACCUUAACAUUGAUUACAGAAGGAUUUUUACAAAUCAGCAGCCUCACCACAUC